GCGGGUUUAGCUCAGUUGGGAGAGCGUCAGACUGAAGUCCACUUCAAUUCAAAUAAAUCUGAAGGUCAUGUGUUCGAUCCACAUAAACCGCA